rnacentral:lncRNA from 1 species
GUCCAAAUGAGAUAAGACUUGAAGCAUUGGAAAGCAGACUCGACAAGCUUUCCAUCAAGUCCUCAUGGGCCUUCAUAGCUUUUGUGAGUAAAAGGUUAUGAAGAUUUCUUUGCACUGGUCCGUUCUUGACUUCCACUGGUCCGUUUUUGACUCUCUGGUCUGUUUUGUAGUGUCUUCUAGGACUUGCACUGGUCCGUUCUUUAGGGUCCGAUUCAUCAUUCUCUUCUUCUAUAUACCUGAGUAUAAUCAAGGUAGAACACUUAGGUAGUAUAUAACACUCAUUAAUGUUAAAGUGAACCUCACAAAGUACCGCGUGG